GUUAAAAUCUGAGUAUCAUCAGAAGAGGAUGGACUACAUAAAAUAAAUGCUGGAUUCUUGGAUGAAGGCUCCAUCGAGGGCCAGACCCGAUAUCCACAGCAAAUUUGCUGCAUCUCUGUGGCCCCCUCACUGCCUUCUUUAUCCCCAGUGAAGGCUCCUUAUAUGCCACAAAGGCAUAUCAAGCCUCAUUCAGGAGGAUGAGUGCUCCAUCCUGGGCCACUUGAAGACAUGACCUUCCUUUUCCUGCCCCCGAUCUCUCAGAGGCUCAGAUCUACAGGCAGUACAGAGCUUUGCUGGAAGAGAGUGGACCAUCUGGCAGAGAGUGAGCAUUAGAAUUCUAGAAUACCAGGUUUGCUGUGACUUAGAACAAGCACAAGUAAAGCAGGGGAUUUAGGAGA